UACGGGGGGGGCAAGCGUUGUUCGGAAUUACUGGGCGUAAAGGGCGCGUAGGCGGCCUUCUAAGUCGGACGUGAAAUCCCUCGGCUUAACCGAGGAACUGCGUCCGAUACUGAAAGGCUUGAAUCCGGGAGAGGGAUGUGGAAUUCCAGGUGUAGCGGUGAAAUGCGUAGAUAUCUGGAGGAACACCGGUGGCGAAGGCGGCAUCCUGGACCGGUAUCGACGCUGAGGCGCGAAAGCUAGGGGAGCAAACGGG
rnacentral:rRNA from 1 species